AACGAACGCUGGCGGCAGGCUUAACACAUGCAAGUCGAGCGCAUCGGUAACGGUGAGCGGCAGACGGGUGAGUAACGCGUGGGAAUCUACCCUUCUCUGCGGAAUAGCUCCGGGAAACUGGAAUUAAUACCGCAUACGCCCUUAGGGGGAAAGAUUUAUCGGGGAAGGAUGAGCCCGCGUUGGAUUAGCUAGUUGGUGGGGUAAAGGCCUACCAAGGCGACGAUCCAUAGCUGGUCUGAGAGGAUGAUCAGCCACAUUGGGACUGAGACACGGCCCAAACUCCUACGGGAGGCAGCAGUGGGGAAUAUUGGACAAUGGGCGCAAGCCUGAUCCAGCCAUGCCGCGUGAGUGAUGAAGGCCUUAGGGUUGUAAAGCUCUUUCAGGUGGGAAGAUAAUGACGGUACCACCAGAAGAAGCCCCGGCUAACUUCGUGCCAGCCGCCGCCGUAAAAC
rnacentral:rRNA from 1 species